CGAUCGAAACCCUAGCCCCACUUUUCUUUCCUCUUGCCUUUGCGGUGGGUAAGGGCAACGCCAGCCGCUGGCGACAGCGUCGAAACACCGCGCCACGCGAGCCCCCUUCCCCUUCCCCUUCCCACUCUUCCUCUACAUCCAUCUUCCACCUCCUGCGGCAGAGAUAGAGGGACGUAGCUGCGCCCUCCUCUGCUCCCCUGCGCUCGACGGCGCGUGCUUGGCGGCGCCCUCCCUGGCCCUCUUGUCAGCGUGCGCGAGCACAGUUGGUGAACGCGCCGCUGCCAACCGGCUCAGUGGGUUGCCCUUUGCCCCUUUCGGGGUAUGUUCUUCCCGACCCCUCGGCUUGCCGAUGCGUGUCGAGAUCAAGAGGAACGGCGCGGUACAGCAGCGGCGCUACUUUUUCGGCGAGCCCAAGGCCCUUCCCUGAGAGAUGGGAGGAGGAUACCUUCUCCUUGGCUCGAUGAGCCCGAGCCGGUGGCCAUGGUGGAGGGGCGUGUGUGUGCGUGGGCAGCGGCGGAGGUGGUGCUUCCCGUCGGCCUACGCUAACCCUAGAUCGGUGGGGGGCUGCGGUGCACGAUGAACCUCGUACCGUGUGCAUCACCCCCCCCCCCCCCCCCCCCCCACCUCUUUAUGUAGCCCGGCGACAGGGGCCCACCAACCAGAGUUCGGUUGGGCGCCCCCGAUCAGGGCGCGAGUCAAGGGCCCGUCGAACCGUUGGGCUCGCGGAUCUUCCCCCACAGCAAGACAACACAAGUUUUUUAAAAGUUCUUUAAAUAUCCAAGUAUUGAUCUCAAAUGGUGUAUUGAAUUUGUUUCCAUUGACUGGCAGAAACUUUAGGCAUGUUUGCAAUUGGACAAAUGGUGUAUAACAAUGAUCAUCAUCUGUAAAUUGGACAAUCGGACAGCAUCAGCAGGAGGACAGCAACAUCAAUAUUUUCUCAUGCAUUACAGGUUUCCCAAUUGAUCAUUACACUGCAGUAAUUUCUUCUGAUGCCAAUUGUAAACAGACCAAAGAUAAGCAAGCAUGGCCAUGUCAGCAGCAGAGGGUAGUAGCCAACAGUAGGAGCAGGGCGGGGACUCGAUCGGGCAGGCAGCAGCGGCAGCAGUAGCAGAGGUCUGCGUGGUCCUGAUGAAUGAAGCCAACAGUAAGAAAAGCCAACAGUCUUGACAGCAAAUAAGAAUGAAAAUUGUGAAUGACAGAUUAGUCUUGUCAUGAUUACACCUCAGGAGUAUCAGGUUUAAUUUGAUGACUUUUCCAAACUCCUCUUCCAAACUAUACUUAUAGAUCCAUCUAGGGCAAGGUGGCAAGAUUUCUCCAUGUGAUUUUGUGACAACAAUGUCCACAUGCUUUUAAUACUGGAAAAAAAGAGAUAUCUCAAUCCAAUGGGAAUAUGGUAUCACUUACUCUGUUGACAUGAA